CUGAGUCAACCCCUGCACCAUCUACUGGUCUUAGCGGCGGAGCAAUUGCUGGAAUUGUGGUUGGGUGCCUGGUCUUUGUGGCUAUAGUUGUCGGUAUAAUCUGGUGGAAGAAGUGCCCAAGUGGUUCGUCAAGGGGUAUAUCAGAUUAGAUAGUACCAAUGCUGAAGAAACAAAAAACCUUUGAUAAGAAUUGGUGUAAAGAACCUGGUUUUCACAGUAUCACAAACCAACAUUAUUGAUUAUGCAUCAAAUACCUCC